AAUUGUUUUGCUUUCUACAGAAGAUGACGACAUCUCAAAGAUGCAUCAUGAAUUUGAGCGGACGAAACAGAUGCCUAAGAUGAAUCCUCAAGACUUGAGUAUUUCUUGAGAAGUAUAUGAGCUCCAGUCUUGCAGUUUUGUUAUAGUUUCUGUGCAGAAAACUAUUUUGGUUGUCGUAAGCUUAGUAGUACGGAGAAAAGAAAAAAAAGAGUACAUGUGUCGUGAUCAAAUGAGAGGUCAUGUGUGAUUAAUGGACUUCUUAUGUUUGAGCAAGAGAAAAUAUGGCAAGCCGCACCAGGAGUUUGUGAAGAUUCUAUGCACAUACAAAGACAUAUUUGAGCUCCGAAAGCGAGUCGAAGCAUUUGAUUUGCAGUAUGAAAUGCAUGCUUCUAGCUACCAGAGAGAUUGUUUACGCAUUAACAGAGGACUUCUGAAUUAUAAGUUUUGAUGCCUAAAACUCUAUAGAAUAUGAUCACCAUUGAGCCCAACGGUUUCCUCUUUUUGAGUCACUCUCAGAUUGGAUGCUUGACAGUGCUUCCGGCUAUUUUUACAACCAGACCAAUGGUCUGCACUAUGAGGUUCUGGAUUCAAUUACAGUGACUCAAUAGAUGUUGGGUGACACAAGAUGAAGCAUACUAUGCAGUUAAAGAAAACGUGGCAAGAGGCAACCAAGAGAAGCGUGCCUAGGAUGGCUGGUUCUACUUUAUGGAGUAAAUCCAGUGUUGCAAGAUAUCUUUUUAUAGCGUGCCUACAAGCUUCUUCAAGGAGGAUGUCUUUUUAGUGGCACAAGAUCAAGAAAUCUGCUUCGGAAUGUUUCAUAACCGAUGGAAACUUUUAAUGCAAUGCAUGUGUAGGAGUGACAGAGUGCGAGUAUUAUGUAUUUUAAAUCCCCACUACAUACUUUUUGGAUUCUAUGCAUUGCAUGUUGUAUGAAUGAGAAUAACUUUGUAUGUAUUUUAAAUUCCCACUACUCUAUUUUAUACUUCCUUAGAAUCAGUGGUGAGAGCCAAUCUUUGUAUGUACACUUUUUUAGUCAUGUAUAUAACAGAUAAAUCUCAAAUCUCAUACUAGGUAAAAAGUUGAAUCCCAUUUAUUCGUCCAUUCACACAUAUUAUACACACACAUCCAAGUAAGAUAAAGUGUCUCGGAUUCUGUCACUUGGUUUGAAUUGUCCUUAUUAUCCUUUAGGAAUUACUUAAUUUGGUUUUAUCAUUGUAUGCAUAAAAUUAACAAAUAUACAACCGAGACGACAAAUUUAAUUUCA